UACGGAAGGUCCGGGCGUUAUCCGGAUUUAUUGGGUUUAAAGGGAGCGCAGGCGGCACUUCAAGCGUGACGUUAAGUUUCGGGGCUCACCCCUGUUUUGCGUCGCGAACUGUUGUGCUUGAGUAGGCGGCAGGGAGGCGGAAUUCGCGGUGUAGCGGUGAAAUGCUUAGAUAUCGCGAGGAACUCCGAUAGCGCAGGCAGCCUCCCGUUGCUUUACUGACGCUCAUGCUCGAAGGUGCGGGUAUCGAACAGGAUUAGAUACCCUGGUAGUCCGCACUGUAAACGAUGGAUGCCCGCUGUUGGGUCUUUUGGGUUCAGUGGCCAAGAGAAAUCGUUAAGCAUCCCACCUGGGGAGUACGCCGGCAACGGUGAAACUUAAAGGAAUUGACGGGG
rnacentral:rRNA from 1 species